AGUAGGAUAGCUAGGUAAAAUGGUAGUUCCAUUCCUAGUUUUCUGAGGAAUCUUCAUACUGCUUUUCAGAGUGGUUGUACCAGUUUGCAGGCCCAUCAGCAAU
rnacentral:pre_miRNA from 1 species